rnacentral:rRNA from 1 species
UACGUAGGGUGCGAGCGUUGUUCCGGAUUUAUUGGGCGUUGAAAGGGCUCGUAAGGGCGGCGUGUCGCGUCGGGAGUGAAAGCCCGGUUGCUUAACGGCGGGUUGGCUUUCGGUACGGGGCAUUACGUGGAGUGCGGCAGGGGGAGACGUGGAAUUCCUGGUGUAGCGGUGGAAUGCGCAGAGUAUCAGGAGGAACACCGGUGGCGAAGGCGGGUCUCUGGGCCGAUGACUGACACUGGAGAAGCGAAAGCGUGGGGAGCGAAACAGGA